GCAAACUUGGUCAUUUAGAGGAAGUAAAAGUCGUAACAAGGUUUCCGUAGGUGAACCUGCGGAAGGAUCAUUAUUGAAUAAAUCUGGUGGACUGUUGCUGGCUCCUUGGAGCAUGUGCACGCUCUCCACCUUUAUACAUCCACCUGUGCACCAUAUGUAGUCUUGGGGGAAAAUGAUCUGUAGUCUUUGCUGAUUGCAGAAUCACCUCUCAAGUCUAUGUCUUUUUCAUAUACCACGUAGAAUGUUUCAGAAUGUAUUUAAUGGGCCACAGUGCCUAUAAAUGUUAUACAACUUUCAGCAACGGAUCUCUUGGCUCUCGCAUCGAUGAAGAACGCAGC
rnacentral:misc_RNA from 1 species